AGUGUGUGUGUGUGUGUGUGUGUGUGUGUGUGUGUGUAUACACACACACACUAUAUAUAUACACACACUAUAUAUAUAUA